UACGUAGGUCCCGAGCGUUGUCCGGAUUUAUUGGGCGUAAAGCGAGCGCAGGUGGUUUAUUAAGUCUGGUGUAAAAGGCAGUGGCUCAACCAUUGUAUGCAUUGGAAACUGGUAGACUUGAGUGCAGGAGAGGAGAGCGGAAUUCCAUGUAUAGCGGUGAAAUGCGUAGAUAUAUGGAGGAACACCGGUGGCGAAAGCGGCUCUCUGGUCUGUAACUGACGCUGAGGUUCGAAAGCGUGGGUAGCAAACAGG
rnacentral:rRNA from 1 species